rnacentral:rRNA from 1 species
UAUGCUCCUGAAAUCGGGUGAGGCUAUCC